GGAGGAGCCCGCGCAGGCGGACACGGAGCGGCGGGCGGAGCGGGGACACUGCGCCUGCGGCACCGCCCUCAGCGCCCUUCGCACGCAGCCCCGAGGCGGCACAGGCAGCUGUUCCAAAGUCAAAUGUUUAUUAGGUACAUCGAACUUUAAAAAAAAAAAAAAGUCAAAGAAUUAUGCAAGAAAUAUGCUUAAAUGCAAUAGUAAAUGUUACUGCAAUGGUGCUACAUUUCAGAACCGCCUUCCCGCUGUCAGCACCACCGGCACAGCCCCGCGCUGAGGGCUGACCCGGGCAGCGCUGUGAGCAGACGGCACAGAGACGAACUCCGCGGUUCCAUCCGCCGCAGCGCUGCCGUAACGAAGCAUCUUCGGCGUGACCAAACAGGCCGUGCUGCGCUCAUUGCCGACGGGCGGCAGCGCUUCUCUCUCCCACAGGAACAGCUGGCCCUGACCGAGGCCAGGAGGGGCAACCCCAACUCUUCUCCGUGACAGACAGACAGACAUGAAUUCAAGGCACGGAUUAUCAAAAUUAACAAACUCUUUCUUUGGAACUCGGUAUGAAGGAAGCCGUAAUUGCAGUCAACACGCUGCACCGCAUCUCUUGUAGCAGUGGCACGGUAAAACCAUCGGGCGCUCACACACAGGUGGGCACACAGUCCCCUGAGCAGAAAGCGGAGCUGUUGCUGCUGGGGGCGGCACACGUGGGGACAGCCGGCAGCGCGCACAGGGCACACCUCCAUGCACUGCUUUCACUGGUCUUUCUGGUCGGUGGGCCCACGUUCAGACAAAAACAUUCACGUCACCCCGCUGUGAGUGAGCACUAAAUGCUCUCAAAGUGGCUUCUGCCAUCCUCGGUGGUACGAAAGGUUCCUUUUCCUUCAUACGAAAGGUACGAAAGGCAAAACCUUUGCCUUCCCUGAGCGCUGCCCCUGGCAGACCUCACCCACACACGCACCCUUCCAAGUCAGGGAAGCUGACAAGCACAAAACAUCUUUACCAACUGAGUUUCAGGAAUUGCGAACUGCGUGGCCGUGCAGAACAGCCCGCAUCCAGCAAGGCCAGUGUAAGGCACAGCCCUGCUCUUCCUUCUGCCGUCCCUCAGCCCAUAAGAUGCAAUCUGGUCUCUGUGUGGACGAGCUCACAGCUUCACCUGCCCACGGGGGAGAGCUCCAAGCAGUGCUGUGCCCGCACAGAAGGAAACUGGAGACUGCAACUGCAGCUGCUACCAUAAGGGAGCUCAACUACUGGAGGAAGAAGCUGGAGCAGCCAGCAUCAUCUUGCCCGACUUCCCUGUCAAAGUGAGCACCUCCUGUUCCUACACCAUCGGCCUCUCAGACACUGCAGGGUUACAGAUCCUGUUUAAAAAGCUUGAGUGAAUUAUCAAAGGGAUCCGUAUCAGCAUCAUCCGCACUAAGAAUAUCUGUGCUUCACAGUGGAAAUAAGCAGUCUUUAGAGAGAGCUGUGCUGGUGCCAAUUAAAAAAAAUAAACCAGAACAACUCUUGACUUACAGUGCUACAAAUGAGAAAGCACAGAGCUUAAUUCACAAAAGGUACCAGGCCCACACUGGGAAAUGAGCUAAUGGCACAAACGGGAGAAUACACAAAUGAUGCCUAUAUAGGCACGAGCAAGAAGGGAGCCUACAGCCACGCUGACUGGCUACCAGACCACGCUGUAUGCUUGACAGCUGAGGAACAAGGGGGCACACGGGCUAGCUACAAGCAGAAAGGCACCAGCUGCACUCAUGUUUUCCAUCAGAACCUGCCCAAAGCCAGGAUGAAAAAACAUCAGCUUUCUUCUCAAGUUUACACCACAUUGCUAAGAAUGGAAGGACGUAUCUCACAAACUUUGGAACGGGAUGUAGUGGAUAUCAAAAUACAGAAGGAAAAUAUUUACUCUAUUUUCUUUUAAAGUGUGGAAUACAUAAUGGAUAAUUAAUUGUUGAAUGAAGGGAGAUGUUAGACAGCUCUUCAUACUUGCACCUAGGUGUGACUGUGGGGAGACCCGAUCCCUGUGCCUGCACAGAGUUAGGCUGAUAGCACUGCUUUGCUUUGGAGCUGCUAAACCUAUUACCAUUUAUGAUGUGGAAGACAUUCCAAAUUUUCUCCCCUGGCUGAGGGGGAAGAAACAAACAAACAAACAAACAAACAAAUCAACUAGCUCAACCACAAACUGCAGUCUGCUAGAGAGUAGAGAGGUUUAAGCUUUGACUCCCCUAAUCUCCUCCUAAGGAAGGCAGCCUCCUAAACAGCGUAUCCUUCUGCAAACAUGGUUGAAUCGUUCUCUUCUAGCACAUCUAAAAAUUCAGUUCUAUGAGAGCAGGUCAUAAGUGCAAAUUAGACUCAAAAAGCAAGAACAAAGCGUCUGCUUGCUCUAAGGAAAUAACUACAAGAAUAACUGCCAUCCUAGCAAUGUUCCACACUUAGCUGUCUGGCUUUACAUGCAGGUUCCCAAGAACUGUAAGCAGAAGUUUUCUUCUACAUCUACAUUUCUGCAUUUACCAGUUCAUUCAAUACUUGCAAUUUCAAGAAUAAUAGGUAAUGGUACAUAAUUUGUUAAGAAAAUACAAUGCAACUCUAAACUGAAUUUUCAAAACCAUAAAAAGCAGUAUUUCACUAUUUACAGAGUAGUGCAGUAUUGUAAACAGACUAAAGGAUACCUAUACAUAAAUGACACUGAAUGAAGAACGCAUAGAACAGUUUAGCAUGACAAUCAACAUCACAAAUCUCAAUACAAACAUGAAGGAAGUCAGAGGAAGGAAGAAGAUUUUUCAAACUGCAUCUCUAAUGAAGUGCUCCUAUCAUUCUUUACAUUUUCAUUUACAAUGAUGGCACAAGUUAUGUACAGUGUUAGUAUAUUGUAUCAGUUACUGGGCAAUCACCAUUGCUAUCAGCGGACCUUAUUCACAGGUACUAAAAUAACCUUUUUGAACAACACUCAGUGAGCAGACACACAAGGAACUUAGAAAAGGAUUCCAUUUAUAUCUAAGUUCUGUCUUAGGUUACCAAAUGGCUUCCUAUUUAGGGCAACGUGAAUGUACACAGGGCUCAUUUCCUAAUUACAUCAUUGAUAUGCAGAAUUUUGUAUUUUAUCAAUAUUCUUUACAUAUACAAAGCAGUGUUUGGUAUUCAGCCAGAAACUGAAAUCUGUGUCCUUUCCUGAGGUUGCAAGUUAAUGCAUCACAAAGUGCAGCUCCCAGUGCUCUUUAAAAGUCAUGACCGCGUGGCACUGAAAACGAUGACUCCCAAUUUGGCAUAGCUUCACUGAGGGUCAGAAUUUCCAUCUCAUGAAGAAACAAAGAUGGUGAAGAAAGUCCAGCAGAGCAAACGGCGUUCCAGAGAUGGUGCUUGUUUUGUCCCUCCUGAGCAAGCAUGGACACCAGAAUGCAGAUGCCAGCUCACCUCUGCAGAAACCGUAUGCUUUUCUCCACCCUGGCACUGACCACCCUCCCUACUGGCUGCUGUCAGAAUUCCUUUGAAAGGGAGUUCCCAAGUUUUCUGGUGACUAAUAGGAAAUCGACAGAUAGAAAAUCCUAUUCAUUUUCCAGCUCUCAAGUGCUAUUUCAGUUUUCAUGAACUUGUGCCUCAGCUGUACAGCUGCAUAAUGGGAAUAAAGAGACCAAGUGCAGAAAUAUAAGGAGGACUUAAAAGAAAUACCUUUCCUAAGGAAAUCUGGGUUGAAAUACACGUGCCUUGCCAGCUUCAAAAUGAGCCAAAACAUGUCAUGUGGGAGUUACCCUCUCAUGGCUACAGGGACAGCUCCACAGCUGUUUUUCUAGUGACAUGAAGGACCUUCAGAACUCCUGAUCUGUGGCCCAGCAGCUUUUGCAGUAGUUGAAUUGCGCUGAAGUGACUGAAGAAAGACCAAGAAACACCUGGUGGGUAACCGAACCAUCUCUGCAGAUGACAGGUCUUGAAGACCCAACUGUUUGCAGUGGGAUACAGACUGAGUCCCCAGCUCCACUACUCGGUCAUUCACAGCGCCGUUAUGAGCAGCAGCAGAAUCUGGAGUUCGUUCUUCUUUAUUCCUUGAGUAGUUUAGAGACGCUUCAGUGAGCGAGCAAGGAGCGAACCCAGCAACUCUCAGGCUUCAUCUCUACUAUUCAGGAAUUUAAAGACCAGGGUUCCAAGUUUGUUUCACAGAGCAUACCUACACCCCAGACGUCACUGGUUUUCCACGUUACGUAGCCGUGCACUUCUGGUAGGCAUUUAACAACACUAUGAAUGAGGUCCAUAGCGUUACGGUACACAGUCCUCGCUGCAAUAUGUUGCAUUGGCUCACAAAACAACCAAGAUGUUGCUGUUCUUCCGAGAAAAACAUUUACCUAAUAUUUGUCCUAUGGAGCUUAAAUAGUUUCUUUUUUUGUAUGUUUUUGCUUUUUCUUUAAAUCUCAAACCAUGCAUGAUCGGAAAUGAAAUCUAUUUGGUUAAGCCGUGUAAUCUGCUUGUAAGAGUGCAUUGCAUAUGAACUGUAAUCAUACAAGUUGCUUUUUUUUUUCUUUUUUUCUUAAUUGAAGGUAAUUAUUCUGGAUAAUUCUUUGAGAUUUACUUGCCUACGUACUUUUCCAAUUAGCAGAACCUGAAACACCUUGUAGGUAUCACUACUUAGGACACAGGCACAAGUGCUUGUGAAGGCACUUUCCCUACAAAGCUUCCAAGAUUUAAUUACUGAACACACAUAGGACAACCAUCUGAUCACUAGUACAGCACAGUCUGGUUACUAGAUAGAUCUGUAGACUAGAAACUAGUUUAACUUAAAUUAACCUUCCUUGCUUUUUUUUUUUUUUCUUUUCCUCUCCCCAAAAAGGCACAGGAUACAAUUUUUUAUGACACUUAGGCAGGGAAAGGGCAUUUUCCCACUUUCGGAUUUAUAAAUCAGUCUUGCAGCAGACCACUGGAUUCAUUCAUGCCAUCAUCUUCUCCUUUUCUUCUCCUCCAAAACAAAUUACAGUUUAAAGCCUUUUUCAUUAUACCUAUGAAUGGUCACACAGCCAUGAUACGAUACUGGCCUGGGCAUGGCUGCUACUCCUGUGAUAAUGCCCGUUGCAGGAUCAUAGCAAAGAAUAGUGUCUGUGGCUUCACCGUUUUCUCGUCUUCCACCAAGGAUAUAGAUCUUUCCAUUACACACAGACAUGCCACAAUUCUCCUGUCUGCUGAACGUAUUCUGUACAUGCAUCCAGUAGUCCUCAAUUGGAUCAUAGCAGUAUAUUGCCUUGGUGAGCCCACCAGCAACAUAAAUCAGAUUGUUUAAAGACACAGCCGUAAUACAUCUUUUUGCAAUAGGGAUAGUGGCACGGAGCAGCCAAGAAUUAGUGUCAGGAUCAUAAGACUGAACCUUGUCAGAACACGUGUUGUCAUCAG
rnacentral:lncRNA from 1 species